GUUGUCAUGUAGGCCACUGUGAAUUAGUACAAUACAAAUAAAAGGGAUGUCAUCGGCAAUGUAACCUGGUCACUGAGAUAAACUACAUGAAUGUAGAUCUGUGAAACAAUGUGCUUUAGUCUGCAGGAAGAGGGCAGACUGUAUUUUAUAUCAAAAGUUAAAUAAUGAGAAACCUCAGAUUUGGUCUGAAAAUAUAUAUUUAUUAGUAUGAAAACAGUCGUCGAUAACGGAACAGUUCCCUGAGCGUUUAGCCGGACGAACAAAACCAGGAUCCACCGUUGACCCACUUCAGGACUUCGCCCACACCCAGAUCUCUGGGCUCAGGUCUAGGUCCUCUGCCCAUCGUAAACAAUAGAAUGCCGGCACAAAUACAAUCAGCUGAGGUGCCAGGAGGAGUGUGAACGGGUCCUUCACAGAGCAGACCAGCGCUCACACCCAGCACCAGGGUUCAAGUUCAGAGUCACAGGGACAAGGGAACAAAAGAUCGGUCCAAUCGAGGUAGUACCGGCUGGUCCUCAGACCCCCUGGUCCUCAGGCCCCUGGUCCUCAGGCCCCUGCAGGGGCCCCAUGUCCUCUAUGGGCCCCCAGACCCUCCUGUGGCCCCUGGUCCUCUAGAGGCCCCUGGUCCUCUAGGGGCCCCCAGGUCCUCUAGGUGCCCCUCUACGUCCUCCUCCUCUUGCCGGACUUUGAGCCGUUGGCCCUCAGGUCCCUCCCCGUGACCCUUGACCUCUUCGUCGGGCGGCCCCUGCCAUGCGCCGCCCUCUCCUCCCGGUCGGCG
ensembl:lncRNA